rnacentral:rRNA from 1 species
CGCCUUUUGAAAUUUAAACAUGAAAGGUCUCGCCUGCCCAGUGACACAUUUAACGGCCGCGGUAUUAUGACCGUGCAAAGGUAGCGUAAUCACUUGUCUCUUAAAUAGAGACCAGUAUGAACGGCGAAACGAGGGCCUAACUGUCUCACUAAAUUAGUCAGUGAAAUUGAUUUUCCCGUGCAGAAGCGGGAAUAAUAAUAUAAGACGAGAAGACCCUGUGGAGCUUUAAACCUAAGCUAAUAUAUACAUAGCAUAGCAACCUGUUUUAGGUUGGGGCGACCAAGAGGUAAAAUAAACCCUCAAGACCACAAACAAGAAGGACACUUCCAAUAAAUAGUACUACUAAUAUUUUGACCCAAUAUUUGAUCAACGAACCAAGUUACCCCAGGGAUAACAGCGCAAUCCUCUCAUAGAGCCCAUAUCGACGAGCGGGUUUACGACCUCGAUGUUGGAUCAGGGCCCCCAAACGGCGCAACCGCUGUUAAAGGUUCGUUUGUUCAACGAUUAAAGCCCU